rnacentral:rRNA from 1 species
ACCGCAUAACGUCGCAAGACCAAAGAGGGGGACCUUCGGGCCUCUUGCCAUCGGAUGUGCCCAGAUGGGAUUAGCUAGUAGGUGGGGUAACGGCUCACCUAGGCGACGAUCCCUAGCUGGUCUGAGAGGAUGACCAGCCACACUGGAACUGAGACACGGUCCAGACUCCUACGGGAGGCAGCAGUGGGGAAUAUUGCACAAUGGGCGCAAGCCUGAUGCAGCCAUGCCGCGUGUAUGAAGAAGGCCUUCGGGUUGUAAAGCACUUUCAGCGGGGAGGAAGGCGAUAAGGUUAAUAACCUUGUCGAUUGACGUUACCCGCAGAAGAAGCACCGGCUAACUCCGUGCCAGCAGCCGCGGUAAUACGGAGGGUGCAAGCGUUAAUCGGAAUUACUGGGCGUAAAGCGCACGCAGGCGGUCUGUCAAGUCGGAUGUGAAAUCCCCGGGCUCAACCUGGGAACUGCAUUCGAAACUGGCAGGCUAGAGUCUUGUAGAGGGGGGUAGAAUUCCAGGUGUAGCGGUGAAAUGC